GAUGAAGAACGUAGCGAAAUGCGAUACUUGGUGUGAAUUGCAGAAUCCCGUGAACCAUCGAGUCUUUGAACGCAAGUUGCGCCCGAAGCCACUAGGCCGAGGGCACGCCUGCCUGGGCGUCACACGCCGUUGCCCCCCCAUCUACUCCUUCGGGAUUGCGGGGGGGCGGAUGAUGGCCUCCCGUGCGCCUAGCCGCGCGGUUGGCAUAAAUACCAAGUCCUCGGCGACGCACGCCACGACAAUCGGUGGUCGCGAAACCUCGGUUGCCCGUCGUGUGCGUUCGUCGCGCAUCGAGGGCUCGAAAAAAUGCUCGGCUCCGGCUGGGCUUUCAACGCGACCCCAGGUCAGGCGGGGUUACCCGCUGAAUUUAAGCAUAUCAAUAAGCGGAGGA
rnacentral:misc_RNA from 1 species